GGGGUUGUGGCUCAGUGCAUAGAGUGCUAGCCUAGCACGUUCGAGGCCCUGGGUUCAAUCCUCAGCACCACA
rnacentral:tRNA from 1 species